UACGUAGGGUGCAAGCGUUGUCCGGAAUUAUUGGGCGUAAAGAGCUCGUAGGCGGUCUGUUGCGUCGGCUGUGAAAACCCGGGGCUCAACUCCGGGCCUGCAGCCGAUACGGGCAGACUAGAGUUCGGUAGGGGAGUCUGGAAUUCCUGGUGUAGCGGUGAAAUGCGCAGAUAUCAGGAGGAACACCGGUGGCGAAGGCGGGACUCUGGGCCGAUACUGACGCUGAGGAGCGAAAGCGUGGGGAGCGAACAGG
rnacentral:rRNA from 1 species